UACGUAGGGUGCAAGCGUUGUCCGGAAUUAUUGGGCGUAAAGAGCUCGUAGGCGGUUUGUCGCGUCUGCUGUGAAAACUCGAGGCUCAACCUCGGGCUUGCAGUGGGUACGGGCAGACUAGAGUGCGGUAGGGGAGACUGGAAUUCCUGGUGUAGCGGUGGAAUGCGCAGAUAUCAGGAGGAACACCGAUGGCGAAGGCAGGUCUCUGGACAAGUUCCUGACACUGAGGCACGAAGGCCAGGGGAGCAAACGGG
rnacentral:rRNA from 1 species